CUGGUGUGGCAGACUUGGCCUUGUCUGAGAACUGGGCCCAGGAGUUUCUUGCAGCUGGAGAUGCUGUGGAUGUAACUCAGGAUUAUAAUGAGACUGACUGGUCCCAAGAAUUCAUCUCUGAAGUUACAGACCCCUUGUCUGUGUCCCCUGCCCGCUGGGCUGAGGAAUAUUUGGAGCAAUCAGAGGAGAAGCUGUGGCUGGGAGAACCUGAGGGAACAGCCACCGAUCGCUGGUAUGAUGAAUAUCAUUCUGAGGAGGAUCUGCAGCACACGGCCAGUGACUUUGUGGCCAAAGUGGAUGACCCCAAAUUGGCUAAUUCUGAGGUGAGCCACAUCGCUCUGCUGCUUUGCCCAGCAGAGCUGGUUUUGGAAGGCAAGAAUCUUGCUUUUCUUACCCCAGUUUAGUUUAAAGAGAAGGAGAUCUUAGGUCUCUUCGUUCCUGUCUAUAGAACAGAGACUUAAGAUCCUGCCUCUUCCUUCUAGUGUUCAUUCACUCAUCUCCUUGCCUACUAACUCUUUUUUCUGAUGCCUUUUCAAGUCUUUAGAGCCAGAAAUCCCUUUCUUUUUGCUCUCUACCUCUUUUAGGGUCUUUAGCAUAUCUUGUCUGCAGCUAGAGAUGGUCAGGGGAGGGGUGAGUACAGGGUCCUCUUGGGCAUGGUUGAGAGUGCACACCUGGAAGUCCUUUCCCAAGUGGCCUGUGUGUG
rnacentral:sRNA from 1 species